rnacentral:rRNA from 1 species
GCCCAGACUCCUACGGGAGGCAGCAGUGGGGAAUAUUGCACAAUGGGCGAAAGCCUGAUGCAGCAACGCCGCGUGAAGGAAGAAGGCCUUCGGGUCGUAAACUUCUGUCCUUGGGGAAGAAGAACUGACGGUACCUGACUAAGAAGCCCCGGCUAACUACGUGCCAGCAGCCGCGGUAAUACGUAGGGGGCAAGCGUUAUCCGGAAUCACUGGGUGUAAAGGGAGCGUAGACGGCUGUGCAAGCCUGAAGUGAAAGGCGGGGGCCCAACCCCUGGACUGCUUUGGGAACUGUACGGCUGGAGUGCAGGAGAGGUAAGUGGAAUUCCUAGUGUAGCGGUGAAAUGCGUAGAUAUUAGGAGGAACACCAGUGGCGAAGGCGGCUUACUGGACUGUAACUGACGUUGAGGCUCGAAAGCGUGGGGAGCAAACAGGAUUAGAUACCCCAGUA